CCUAAUUUCACUUGAAUGAAACCCUCGUAGGAUAAGACUUUUCACUGUAACUCUCAAAACUCCCACACUUCUUCUUCACAUUACAUGCUUCCUUCUUCCUUAAUCUACUCCUUCAAUAUUUGAUAUUCCUCUCUGCUUUUCCGUUUCAACCACUUCACAUAUCUUCACUUCUUCUGCUAUUUCAAUGUAUACCAAUAUCUCCAAAACCCAAGCAUUUCCUCUUGCAUCUAAAAUAUCAUCGCAACCCAGAUGCUUCAAUUCACUCCCCAUUUCAAACACCCAAUUUUCUUCUCAUAAAAAAUCAAUCUUUACAAACCCCAGAUGUAAAUUUCGAACCUUUGAAAUGGGAAAACCCUUAAAUGCAUAUGGGUUGAUGUUGCAGAUUGCUAGAAGAUAUUGUGGCGCGAGAAGUGCUGAAAAGGAACUUCCUUGGCUAGAAAUGGAUGGAAUUAAGGAAGGUAGAUUGGCGGAGAAAGCAAAAAGGAUCAAUGUUAGAGGUUCUGUUCAUGAGGAUUCAGUGAAGAGUGUGAGUGUUAAGUCCUCUUGGGAGCAAUCAGUUGAUAGGUUAGAGAAAACAACAGUUCCAGAAUUUAAGCCGAAGUUGCGGGAUUCGACUUUCUCUGUGAAAGGUGGUGAUUCGGGUGAGGGGAAGAAUAGUGGGUUUGUCGAGAAGGCGAGAGAGCGGAGAAGUGAUGGUGGUAGUAGAUAUGGUAGAGUUGAUGAUAAGAGAAGUGGUGGUGGUAGUAGAUAUGGUAGGUUUGAUGAUAAGAGGAGUGCUAGCAACAAGCCCUCUAGUAGGUAUGGCAAAUUUGAUGAUAAGAGGAGUGCUAACAACUCACCUUCUAGUAGAUAUGGUAGAUUUGAUGAUAAGAGAAGUGCUAGCAACACGCACUCUAAAAGAUAUGGUAAAUUUGAUGAUAAUGUUGAAGAAAGAAUGGAUGAUAAUGUUGAAGAAAGAAUUGAUGAUGAAAUGGAGAAUGGGGAGAAUGUGGAGGGUGUUGAUGAUCCAAGGUGGGAUAACAUAAGGAAUAGGUUCCAAGGUGGAUCGGAAAGACCUGAAUAUCGAAGAUGGGAUAGUAAUGAGAAUUGGGGUAGAAAGACAUGGAGAGAGGCUACUGAAUCGACUGUGCCUAAGGUUGUUGGUGAAGGAAUCUAUGGGGUUGGUCCAGUUUUGGCUGCUUUGUCAGCUGGAAGAAGGGAGUUCUAUGCAUUGUAUGUGCAACAAGGGUUGGAUUUGAGUAGCAACAAUAGGAAAAAGAAAGACAAGAAAGGAUUCGAGAGGGUUCUAAAGAUGGCUGAAAACCUCAAUAUAAGUGUAAAAGAAACAUCAAAGCAUGAUUUGAAUAUGGUAGCGGACAAUCGACCUCAUCAAGGUUUGGUAUUAGACGCUUCGCCGCUUGAGAUGGUGAGAAUACAAGAAUUGGAACCUUUUUCUCUUGAGGAAGGCAAGGGUUCUCUUUGGGUAGCUUUGGACGAGGUUACUGAUCCUCAGAAUUUGGGGGCAAUUAUCAGGUCUUCAUAUUUUUUUGGAGCUACCGGGAUAGUUUUAUGUGCCAAGAAUUCAGCUCCAUUGAGUGGUGUUGUUAGCAAAGCAAGUGCGGGAUCACUUGAGUUAAUGGAACUUAGAUAUUGCAAAAACAUGAUGCAGUUCUUAGUAUCAUCCGCCGAAAACGGUUGGCGGGUUCUUGGAGGAUCUGUCGCCUCUAAAGCGAUUUCAUUAAAUGAGAUCGAAUCUGGUCCGCCGACUAUUCUUGUUUUGGGCAGUGAAGGCACUGGUUUGAGGCCUUUGGUAGAGAGAUCAUGUACUCAGUUGGUUAAAAUUGCUGGUAAUAUUCCUCUUGACUCAUGUAAUAGUGAACUAGAAGGUGAAAGUACCGGUUUAAAUGGCGAGGGCGCUGGUAAAGAGUUUCUUUCAUUUUUGGCUGUGGAAAGCUUAAAUGUUAGUGUAGCAGCAGGUGUGCUUCUUCAUCACUUAAUUGGUGGUAAAAGCUCUGUCGAAUCUUUGUCGGACGCAAAUAGACAGAUUUCUGAGUGAGACUACAAGGCCUCGAUGUAUUUAGUCUGUUAUCUUAGGGUCUCAUACACUGUAGUUUCUCCUUUUUUAUCAUUGGAUCAGUAUGCAAAUCAAAGGGAAAGAUCGCGUAAUUUGAGAGUCGAGAGGCUUUUUUUUUUUGUUAUCAAUAUAGUGGCCAUUGCUUUGUUAUUGUUAUUUAGUUUUAUUGUGGUCAAUGGUCAGAAUCUAUGUUCUGAUAAUAAUGAGAUCGUUGAUUCUUGUCCUGAAUUUUGACAAUUGCCUCUAUAUAACAUGAAAUUAGCCACCUGCUUGAUAUCCUAACUUUCACUGAAUCCCCUUUACUCUAUAAACUACAUCUAAACAUGGUGAUUAUACUCUACUUGCAUCUUUUUCUUUCGAAGAAGAAAUCUGGCCGGGCAGACAACAUGGGAGAGAACGUUGAGCUGGAGUCGGCACCAAGCGUGCCGAAGUUGCAAUGCAGCAAAGGCUGUGAAAGAGAAGAGAGGAGAGUCUGUGAAAGCUAUGUUCCAGGUUCCGACCGGCUUUAAGUCCACUGAUCAUGAUUUAGUUCUUCGAAAGAGACGUCUCGAUAGGUUGAAGAGUGUGUAUUAUAUAUAAACUACCAUUGACUUUGUUUCUCAAGUAAUACAAGACUUUUUUAUAAUGUUAAAAGCGGAGAAAAUUUUAGAAAUUUGGACAAUUAAAGAAGAUAAAAUAAUAAUUCGAUGAUCUUUUUAGGUGAAAAAAAUUAAUUGCUUAGAGUAAAAUCCAAAAUCCAUUGAUCUAUGGAUUUAAUUUUCAAAUCCAAUUUUUUAUAGUCUCACCAUUGAUCUACAAACCUGAAAUUGUAGAUACAAGAUACCUGAAAUUUAAAGUAAAAUAUGAGGGAAAGUAGAUUUACAAAUUUGCAGAUCUAAAACAAAAAUAUUAUAUUUUUCAAAAAAAAAUCAGAUUCAGAC